rnacentral:tRNA from 1 species
AAUUAGAAAGCGAAAAUUGCAUUUAGUUUCGACCUAAACACUGGCUAUUUUAUUAGCCUCUAAUUU